CACAAAACUACAGCCGUUCAUCCCAUAUGUUUUGCAGGCAGCAGCUAUCGAUGGGAGCAUCGUGCAAAAAUAGUGUGUGAAACUAUCGUGUGCACAACAAUUCUGUUGGUUGUAUGAUCUAGAGUAGUUUCUUAGGUGGUGAUGUGCUACACUAGAUAUUACCUAAUGUUCUCCUGUGUACUCAGCUUGGGACUAGGCAGUAUGUUAUAGUGAAUUAAUAUACAGGUCGCACACACCUUGUGUUGGAUGCUUGAAAAAGCAAUGCAAAAUAGUCUUUGUAUUGUGACUCGUGAGUCAACACUUUUGGAUCCCAAAAUAUUCAGUUGAAGCGUGAGUGAUCAUCUGCAAGUCAGUAGGAAAUUUUAAUUUGAUGUUAGCACAAGUAUGUAUGGUGUCAGAUGGUUGAAAAGGAACUGGAGAUGGUCUUUGUGUCCUCAACUUUUGGCCCUUUAGUCAACACCCCUAAGCAUUUUUCUUGAAGGGCACAAGAACCUUAUUUUGGCCUAGAAGAGAUUUGCCAGACUGCUUGAUGAUUCUGCCACCUAAUAAACAAGUAAAUGGAUUUUGUAUCCUGAAAAUAGAGGAAAAUAAUAAACACCAAGAAGAUCUGAAUGGUGUUAUCCAUGCUUGCUUCUAAGUAGUGUAUGUUCAUUAGCACCACAAUUCAUGGAUUUAAGGGCUUCCAUCUUUCAUGUGUGCGUAUUUAAUGUUCUAGGCAGUCACUUCACAUAGCUGGUCGGGCUCUAAGCUUGCUCUGCUCGUUGUCGGUUACUACUAAAUAUUGCAUUUUUAUCUACUUGGUGCUCUUCGAAGUAUGCUUAUUAUGUUUGUCGUUCUUUAUACAAGUAAGUUGAGGUAGAUAACAAAAGUUGAGAAAAAUUAUUAGAUAUUUCUACUGUUUAUUGGUACGGCCACUGAUUAUAUUUAUUGUUGCUAUCCAAUGCAGAUUAUCAUGAUUGCAUGAGAGAUUAAUACCAUUGUACCAUGUGUGCUAGCUAGAAACCGUAGGGUGAUGCUUGGUGUAUUCUUGUGUAGUUGUGUUUUCAUCGGAAAAACAAGGAUGUGGGUCAGACUCCAGUUCAUCACGACUCCAUUAACGGAGUUUGACCACUCUGAAAAAGGUGAUGCUCUGUAUGGUUAAUCAUCUAGGCAAAAUAAUACUUGAUCACAAGGUAAUAAAGUUAGUACUUAUAUGUAAAGUUAUUUAGCUUCAUCAAAUAGAUGUCAGUUUUUUGCUGUUAGAAAGUUAUGUAGCUGCUCUGCAAUGACCUUUUGAACUCAAUAUGGCGUCGGUCAAAUAUACAAGGACACGAAACAAAUCCGAAAGAAAGUAGCAAGCUGUUAAAUUCAGAUAUUUCUCUGAUUUGCUGCUUUCAUUUUGUGGAACCUAGCUUGUGAAAACUUGAUGUGUUCUUACUUGAGCGCCUCUUGUGGUUUUAGCAAUGGAGUUUGGCUCUUGCUCUCGAAAAGAUGGUGAACAAGAAGCUGCCCAACCUGCACACUAGGGAAGAAGUUGUGGUGGCGGUGAAUUAUGCAGCCAUUGUCUCUCACGACCGCCGGCCCCUGCUCGCGACGUCUCUACUGGAGCCGCCUCUGCCUACUCUGGUGUGUUGCAGCUCCUUACUCUAGCCACAUGCUGCUUGCUCUCCCGCUAGCCUCUGCCUCCUGUGGUCUCGAAGUUGAUGACACCCUGAUGCAAAGCUCCCACAAUCAUCCGCUCCGUCUCAGCAAAAAAACAUGUCCAGCUGCAGAAAAGGAGUUUGUAUCCAGCUUGACCUCCAUAGCAGGAAGAUUUUAGUAAUCGUUCUAUCAAUGUUCUAUUAAUGGACAGAGGAGGGGAGCAAUGGAAAUAACACCCCGUCGCGGUCCUGGUGCUUCUCUCCGUGGGUUCGCUUGCUCACCUCGGCAUUUGCGGCUUCUACAGACGGUCUUGACAGGAAGGACUGAUCAGCCACUGUGCUGGAGUAGACUGUGUGACAUGUUUUUUCCUCUCUCUCCUACCCGUGAUUGGUUUCUUUGGUGAAGAAAGCAUCACUGUCUUUCAAUACAUGAUGGAUGCUCAACCUGUAUGUCUACAUGGUACAAGAAUGAAGAUUAACUGUUCAAUCUAUUGAUUCAGAGUGAUACAAGGGUGAAACAGAAUAAGCUCAUUUUUGUGGGUCAUUGUCGGAAAAGAAUAUUUAGCAUGAAUGUAGGUGCUUUCAUAUGAAGCUGGACAUGUUUACAAUGAUCGACCGGAUAUCGUUACACGUGUCUUGAAUAUGAAGUUUAAUGAUCUAUGAGAAGAUGUUAAAAGUGGACAUUUGUUUGGUACAAUUCAAGCAUAUUUAUACAUGGUGGAAUUACAAAAUAGAGGCUUGCAACGUAGGCUGCCAAAGUAGAGAGAGGAUUGAGGGAGGAACCCUACCAAAUGGAUAGGACGUGCGGGAGUUGUGGGCGCCAUAUUUGGUUGGCAUGGAAUUUGAUUUGAACCAAUGGCAGGCGUACUAUAUGCUAUUUUUUUUUAUAUAAAUGGAGGUAUAAUAUUAUUUGGCCUCCCAUUUGGUAUGUCCAUAGCGUUGCUCCAUACUUAGCUAGGCUAUUCUACAUAUCGUCUGUCCUGGGCCGCCGCCGGGCCUCUGCCCCGUUCGUCCGUGAUACAUUCCACCAAUAAAAAAACAAUGCCCUCCCAACCUGUCUGUGCGACCCGGCCCAACAAAUCAAACCCACCAGCCCGUUUAGGAGAUGAGACAAAAAUAGUUGACCGUGACAUGAAUCAAACUCGCAACCUCCCCUAUUCUUUGGUGUUGAUCGUACUACCCCGCAAAAAAAGGUGUUAAUCGUUUUAAACUAAAGUUAAAUUUGGAGAUUUUUUUUGUCCUUUACGGACUGGUAUUGAACUACUAUACGAUGUAAAAUAUGGAUAGCACAAACACAAGGCGCACGCAUUUGAUUGUGCGGAUGUGCCCGGGAUCUCAAACACGACCGUUGGCUGGUCUAUGUAUGUAGACGAUUCUUUAUUGGCUCCAAGCUUAGGUGGAACGUUUGUUGUGUAGUGGACAUCGUGACCGACAGUGAGUACAAAGAAAAUAAGUGGUAACAAGGAUGGGGCGCCAAGUGUGAUAAUUUGUUUCUCCCGUUGCAACGCACGGGCACUUUUGCUAGUAAUAAUAAAGUAUGGAUUGAGUUGGUUCACCAUCGCGUAACUUUUACAAAUAAAUCUCUGUGUUUUCCCAUAAUUAAGCCGCAGUACUAUUUUAAGUGGUCACAGAGAAAAACGUUUCGUUCUUUGGUUGGGCCUGACGUUUUCAUAAGCAGCCCAAGACUCACCCGUCGUCCAGCUCAAAAAAAAGACUCACCCGUCUUUGGAAUUUCUGCCCCGAGAACGCGAGGGUUUCCUCCGUGGCCGUCGCCGUCGCGACCCCAUAUCCCGCCACUCCAUGACGCAAGUCCUCGCUCCGCAGUCGCCAAAUCCAGACGAGUCCGUCGCCCUUUGCGCCGCCACCCCGGUAGCCCCUCUCAUCGACGACUACCACGGGUGCGCAUCCCUCUCCCUCGAGACUUCAUCUCGACCUCCAGGCUCCAGCGCGAGGCCACCUCCUGCCGACCGCGACUCCCUCCAUCGCUGCCGACGCCGCCCUUUGCGCCGCCACCCCGACAGCCCCUCUUGCCGACGAUCACCACGGGCACGCCUCCCUCUCCCUAGACUCCAUCUCCCCAGCGGCCUUCCCUCCUUUGCCCUGAGUCCAGGACCACCAGUUUGGUCAAAUUCCCCGUAGCCGCCGGUCAUUAUCGGCCGCGCCGCCGCCCCUGGUCGACGCGAACGCCGCGGCGGACAGCGGGUUGCUGUGCUGAUGCACCGGGGUGUAGCACAGCUCGGAGGCCUGGCUGCUGUGGUGGUGUUGGUCGUGGUGGACGGGGAACCGGCGGCAGAGAAGCCCCGACCUCUGCAUACAGUGUCGACCUUAAUUACAGAUGUUUCUGUGUUUGUUUUGGAUGAAGUGGACUGCUCGCUAGAGAGAGGAUUCAGAUAUUAGGCCAUGCAGAUCUUUCGCAUGCUCUCACGUCCACAGUUCAUGAUGUUUUCAGCAAUAGUACAGUUAGAAAUUGUCAAACUCACUGUCUUACAACAUGACUGAUACAUGGAGUAUUUCUUGUGGGAAUCCAGGUAAACCAAACACAUCAAUUAGACAAGUGGUAAUUUGGGUGGAAUCUAAGCAUAAGAAGCGGAAGUUUUUUGAGAUAAUUAAGAGUAAGCAGUACUUCAAACCUCCUGUUGUUGUAUUUGUGAGUCCCAGAGUUGGUGAUCUCUUGUCUGAAGCAAUUACUGCUGCUACUGGGUUGGAGUAAUUUCCAUUCCGGGUGAGAAAAUAGUGAAAGGGAGAAGGGAAAGAUUGAGACAGUUUCUCAGAAUCAGGAUGCGCGAGAGGAUGGGAAUCGGAGAGACGCAACAGGGGGGCAUCAGCAGGAAAGCAGCAGGUGGGUGCAGCACCGGCCUUGGCCAAGGUGGCCCGUUGUUUCCAGAGCAUGCUUUGACUGCAAUUAUCUCAGCAAAAUUGCAUGGUAAUCUUCUGUACAGAUUGAUUAUUUGUUAUGGUCAUGUACGGCUAGGAGUUCUUUAACUUGCAAUUAUCUCAGCAAAAUCACAUGGUAAUCUUCUGUAAAUUACAAGAUGUGCUCCUGUAUAGAUUGAUUAUUUGCUUAAUCUUAAUUUUGUGAUGAAUCAUCGAAUAGUGCCGUAAGAUUCAAAGACUUUUUUUAGCCUUUUUUGAGCAAUUAAUCUGCACCUUUGUUCAUGGACGGGAGGUGCUUUUGAUCUUCUAAUUACUUCCUCCAUGUUAGGUGUUUGUGCUGCUGGUCAAAGGUAUGUAUAUGACCGGCUAAGAUUUGUUUUUCUUCAUACGCAUUGUUAGAGUAAUAUCUAUGCGCUUUAUUUUUUUUCCUUCUGAAUUUCUUUCAUGCAUCAGUGUAUAUGUUUCUUGUGGUCUUCCACAACUUUUAUUCUUGCUAUUUUUAGUUCUUGAUCUGGAUAAUUGAAGAAGUGGUUAAAAUUCCGUACAUGGAGUUUAUGUUGUCCUAAGAUUUUGUCAUGAUAUUCAUUUUUUAAUCCAAAAUUUGUUUAGUUGGAUUGUUAUGAACAUGUGAAGAACCCGUUGUUAACUUUUGACUUUAUUUACAUCUGUCAUUACUAAUUCUCAUCACUGAUGAUUGUUUGUAGAUAAGAUUUUCUUCUAAUCCAUAAGAAUUGAUGCUAAUAUGCACUGUUCUAUUAAACCUGAAUUUCAUUGCUGAAGCACAGUUAAAGAAAAGUCAUGGAUAAAGCUUAGUGAUUUCCAGUAAAGAGUUUCUACUAAUCCAUCAGCUAAUGCUAAUCUAACCAUUAAAUCCUAUGAAGAUUUUUAUUCUAUGAGUCAUGUAGCUUUUUGUUGUUGUUGAAGCUAGCUGUGGGAUGCCCUUUCUGUUUCAUGUGAUUCGAUGCAUAGAUAGACAGAUUCUAUGUUCUUAGAAGACAUGGUACUUGGACCUUCGUAAGAUGGCGCAAGGGGAGCUAUGGGGAUUGAUGCAUAUAGAAUUAUCUGCUAUUUUCCAAUAAUUUCGCCAUCAAAAGAUGUUCUAUUUGUUUCCAUACUAGCUGUUUUGGUUGUGCCCAUCAAUCAUGAUAGCCAAUUUUCUUUCCUGAAUGUUCAGGAGGAUUUCAGUGCUGCUAAAGAGAGAAAAGGAUCAAUGCUAUGAGAUUGUUGCUGAGAGGCAUGUACAUGAAUCGGCCACAAUAUGCUUUCUCCUUGCCUUUUCCUUAUUGACUAAAUCUGAGCACAUGGCUAUAUUCAGUUUUCUCAUGUAACCUGAGCAGCUGCUGGUUUAGAUUAGCAUUCCUUUCAAUUCUUGAUUAGCAGCGUGCUGCGACACACAUGGCUCAGCCUCCGUGUCAUUCUACCUGUUUUCAUGCUCUCUACGUCUUCCAAGUCAUCAUUUUUUUUAGUUCUGGAAGUAACAGGCAAAUGGUAAUAUAUACGUAUGGAAGUUGCAAAAAAUCAUUAUCUUGUCCAAGUAACGUGCAGAAUCAUUUCUCUUAUGGGAAUUAGCCUGUUGUAUUGACCUAACAAAGUCCACUUCAACCUACUCCCUCCGUCCGAAAAUAUUUGUCAUCAAAAUCGAUAAAAAGAGAUGUAUCUAGAACUAAAAUACAUCUAGAUACAUCCUUUUUUAUCUAGUUUGAUGACAAGUAUUUCCGGACGGAGGGAGUACCUAAUAAUUAUCCAGUGAAGAUGGAGAGCGCCUCAAAUAUGAGAAUCUACUCAUCCUUUGUUUUCUGUUCUGUUGCCUCAUGUAUUUACAGUAUGAAUAUGUUACACUGUGUUUCUUGAACUUGGUCGGUGUUAAGAUUUGGUAUUAGGAGGGUAACUCUUCCCACCCUGUAGUUUUUUAUUUCAUGGAGUGCAUGAUAAUUAAAGAAGAUACUUUAUUUUGAGUGUUCCUUUCCAGAUAAUAGACUGGCUAACCAGUUGUCUGGCACUGUCGUAAAUGCAGUAAUGUUAGAUUUCUUUCAUAGUGGUUCACUUGCAAGCUUUAUUUCACAAAUUGUGUAGCAUAUUUGUAUUUUCUUUACCCUGCUGCAAGUCAUAUGCAUCCGCCAACACAAUGAACCAAUUGAUAUUUUCAUGAUGGGAUAAUGCAUAUGCGCAAUUCGAUGUGGGCACAUGUCUGGCAUGUAUAUUUUUCUUUCUUUGCACAGUAUAACAUCUUUCUGAAUUUCGUAGACUUUUGUAUAAUUAGAUCAAAUGCAUUUCCACUCACACGCUUGUGAACAUGGGCCAUGGCUAUGUUUUGUAAUUUAACAUCAGAACACUUACUCCA